rnacentral:rRNA from 1 species
AUUGAACGCUGGCGGCAUGCUUUACACAUGCAAGUCGAACGGCAGCGCGGGCUUCGGCCUGGCGGCGAGUGGCGAACGGGUGAGUAAUACAUCGGAACGUGCCCGGUAGUGGGGGAUAGCUCGGCGAAAGCCGGAUUAAUACCGCAUACGACCUGAGGGUGAAAGCGGGGGAUCUUCGGACCUCGCGCUAUUGGAGCGGCCGAUGGCAGAUUAGCUAGUUGGUGGGGUAAAGGCCUACCAAGGCGACGAUCUGUAGCUGGUCUGAGAGGACGACCAGCCACACUGGGACUGAGGCACGGCCCGGACUCCUACGGGAGGCAGCAGUGGGGAAUUUUGGACAAUGGGCGAAAGCCUGAUCCAGCAAUGCCGCGUGUGUGAUGAAGGCCUUCGGGUUGUAAAGCACUUUUGGCGGGAACGAAAAGGACUGUGCCAAUACCACGGUUCGAUGACGGUACCCGCAGAAUAAGCACCGGCUAACUACGUG